GGGGUCAACUUUGUAGAUCUGGCUGUGCCAUCUGUCACCCCACUGAUCACCACGGUUGAUUGGGCUGAUCUGGCUGGCUAGGCAGGUGUUCCCUUCCUCCCUCACCGCUCCCUGUGCGUCCCUCCCGAAGCUGCACACUCAGUGAAGAGGACCGGUCUUUGGUCAAGGGUAUAUGAGUAGCUGUGCUCCCCUGCUAGAACUUCCAAACAAGCUCUCAAGGUAUCAAUCUUAUUUUUCAUACUGGAGAAUGACUUUUCAGGGGUUAAUCACGUUACUGAGGAUUUACUGUUUUUGUAACAAGAUAUAGAA
ensembl:misc_RNA 7SK 7SK RNA